ensembl:lncRNA
UUUCUUUGAAAUACACAUAGAAUUUUAUUGGAUGACAGUUCGGCUGUGGAUACUUGGCAUUGAAUACAACAAAUGUAAUUGAAAAUGGUAAAAGCAGGACUUCAGUAAUAGAAACAUAAUGUGUGCCAACCAAAGAAUAAACUGAAAGACAUUUAAUUUGUGAAACAUUUAAGAGUGGCAAUGAUGGCUGAAUAGUUUGGUGACUCCUAUAACAAGCACCGAAUCAAGAAGCAGUGAACGUUCAUGUCCUGUAAUAUUGUAAAUUCUUAAUUAGGAUUUAAGCACUUGGUUUAAGUAUGCUGAAGCUAGCUAGAAUGACGCUGCUUAAUUGUCAAUCAACCCUUUUAACUCCAGAGUCAUACAAAUCACUUCACAGAAUCAUUUUUUUUUAUCCAUUUAUAGUGCCAAUGGUAUCCUGCUGUAUUAAAGAACCAACACAAUCAACGAAAUGCUAAACAUAUAUUCAUACUGACAGCUUUGAAUACCGAGCAGCUACGUACAAUAUUUGGUGUAUUACUGGAGACUGCACCAAAUCGUAUUUAUCAAAGUAGCAAUACAUUAAAGAAACUCAUUUUGUCAUUACAUCUUUGAACACAAGUCAUCCAUCUACCUUCAUCAUUACGGGAAUGGGUUGAUCGUUGAGCAUUAAAUCAGUUAGAAUGGAGAGCGGGCAUAUCUGGGCACUUCAGGGAUUGGAUUUCAAUCAGUUGGGAAGAUGUGUUUAUGAUUACGGCGUGAGAUCGAAUAAAUGUUACCGUAGCAGUUUUGGUUCAUUGGUCAUUGUAGCUGGAGUUGAAAAGGUCACACUUUUCUUCACACAUGAUGUUGUACCACUGUCACCACACCUACCCUCAAACCGAAACCUUGUUAAGAGUUACUCAUGCAAUACGUGCACUGCAGGAGAGUCCCAGAGACAGCAUUAGAGAUGAAAGCCUAAGCAUCUUUUCACAUCAACAAAUGAAGCAAGGUCAACCUAAAUUCGGUUAAUUCUUUUUAAACCCCAGUUUAGUGUUCGCCUAGAGGAACAAUGCGGGAAGACCGUAGACAUUCAAGUAAGGUCGUCAUGCAUGGUCUAAACAAAAUCUGGUAACAAGCCACUCAAACUGUGCAUCUUUGAACUGCAGCUAUUGUUGGAAACAAAAUCAAUUCAAAUCCAGCGCAAAGCCCAGAUCCUAGUGAAGAAUACCCUACCUGUCUUUAAUUUGCACUAGAGGCGUUGUUAAUUGUGUCUAAGUGAGUUCACCAGUACAUGCCAACAUGCUGCAGUGCUCUGACAUCUCGUGUUAGGCGCUAUAUAACACAAACACAAAUUUUUCCAGAAUGAAAAGCUAUAAUAAUCCAUUAAUAUUAGUGAUAUAUUUUUAAUUGAACUCAUAUUCUGAAAUCUUUCUUAUUGUCAUUUUCUUUCCUUCUAUUCAUGAUCUAAUAUUUCAACAGCAGUAACUGUAGCUGUUAAACACAGGUAAAAUGGAAGCACAUAUUCAGUGGUUGUGCUAAAUCGUGGUAAAGGAAUAAUAAGGUAUAAUUGCAGAUUGUUAUUGCUCUUUUAUAAUUUGCACUUGUAUAAUCAUUUUAGGGACAGAAUUGCAGAGGAUUGGAAUGGUCACUUUAUUUUUUGCAGUUUAAGGGAUAGUUUCAGUUGUCUUUAUGUCUGUCUGUCAGUGUGAAUUGGCAAUAAUUCUAGAUAGAAAUAUUCAACAAAGAUUUCUUAUCAAUGUUUUGAAUGCAAAAUCUUUUUUUUCUCAGAAGCCAAUUGGUACAGAUGACAAUUGAAAUUAUAUUGUAAAAACUAAAUGUAAACAGACAGAAAGCGAACAGAAAAUUGCCCAACCAAAGAAACUCCAUAUUUGAUAACAAUAACCACUCAUGUUUUAAGGACCAAGGUAUUCAAGUGUUUUUUUUUUGUCAAUUACAGGGCAACACACAGGCAAGGCUCACUUUCAUUCACAGUCGAUGAAUGUGCCAUUCAAAUUCUGCCUUGACUCACAUGGUACGGCUGAUGAAAACAAUAAAACAUGUUGAGAUGAAAGCAAACAAAACUCUGCUCAAAACCUGCUAAAAUAAAAAAAC